UUUUCAAGGUAAACAAUUGCCACAGGCAAAUGGGGGGAUUCAUUGCUUCUCCCUCUUCUUUCCUAAUGUGUGUUUUUAGCUUUUAAUUUAUAUGAGGUCCUUCAACAAAACGUUAUGCACAAAGCUUAACAACCAGCUCCAUGCAACUCACACUCCCAAAGUGUGCUCCAGUCACCACUAACAGCACCACAAGCAGGAACAACCAAAGGGAAGUUCUGAGUAGGUCCUGUUGAAACCUGUACGGUUCCUGUAGGAAAAGUGCUUUGAAGGAGGGGUCCCUGCUACACCAGAGACGAUGCUUGCCCUCCUCCUCUCCUUUUGCUUGUCUUUCCACAAAACAAGCUUUCAUCUUUGAAGUCAAUAUAUACCAUCAACUGCAGACACUGUUAAUAAACCUACAUACGGUGUAGUAUUUCUUUUUAUGUCAUGCACAAAACUUGAAGGAAAGCAAGCACACAGUACUCAGAUAGUGGAAUUCUGCCUACAAAACAAGAGAGCUCCAUUUGUGUAUCUCAGUAAGUGGCAGGUUACAUACACAUCCUGUACAAAAAGAGUUGUUUAUGAAAGUGCACUAAAACUAUCCACCAGGAAGUCCACUUUAAAGGAACAUACAGUUACUAUUGGCUUUAAAGGAUAAUAUGUUUACUGUUCCCUAGUCUUCUAGAAUUAUUUUCACUAAAUCAACUAAAAACUACAAUAAUGAUAGACUACUCUUUAGAGAGAAGAGGUUUUUGCUAAGAAAAAAUACAUAUAAAAAUAGAAAACUUACCUGUUAUUAUUCCCGACUGAUAUAUUAAUUGGCCGGUAGAAUAGUCCCACACCUUUGAAUAAAAAAAAGACGUAGAUAGGUAUCUACUUAGGUCUCUAAGGAAACACAACCUUUAACGGCCAUCACGUGGAGAAAACAGAGAAAUGCAGCCAUUGAAAGUGAUGUCCUUAGAUAAGGAUUUUUUUCAGCACUUGUUUCCAAAUACAAAGGGCUUUGUUUAAUUGAUAAGCAUCCAUGGUGUAAAAGGUGAAACUCACAUAAUAUGAUUACAUGAAGUAAUUAGAAGUACUUGUUAUCAUCUUUUCUUAGUUUGAUAUCUUAGUGAUUUUACCUAAAUUAAUGAAAAUACAUACAUUAAUGCACCAGAAAAUUAAAAAAGAGGAAAGGAAGGGGAGAAGGGAGGAGAGAGAGGGGAGGGACCCACAACCUUUGAUAUUUAUUUUAGCUUGUAGAAAAAAUUUUGGGCUACAUUUAGAGUCAUAUUGAGGACAAUCAGUAGUAGAUUAAAGCAUAUGCAAUCAAGGUACCUAUCCCAAUAUCUCCUAGAAAAUACAUCUGGGUUCACUCAGGUUUUUGUUUCCCCUUACUGUCUAAGUUGUCUUACAAUUGUCAUCAUGCACAGCAGCAGCAAUCCAUGGUGUCAUCAUAUAAAAUGUUGUCUGUAAAAAAUCCUACCAAUAUGCAAUAACCCAGCCAUUGCAUACAAUAACCCAAGCCGAUAUUCCCAAAAGGGAAAAUUCAAAUCAAUGUCAGCAGACUCACAGUGAAAUGUUUUCAUUCAGUUUAGCAUACCUAAAACACUUCAGCUACAGUGAAACUAAUCAAAAUAUUUUAUUUUCUUUCUAUGUGCUAGAUGAUAAUAAUCACCAAAGUUAACAAUUCAUGUGGAAAGUUUUGAAUAUACAAAAUCUGCAUUGUUCUUUUAAAAAAGAGAAAUUAAUUUUUACAAUAAUUUUUACAAUAAUUCUUAGCAUCUCUAAGAACCAUGUCCUUCUCUCUAUAAAGUCAAAGAUGUUUUUUGCUUUAUCCUCACAAAAUAUUUAAAGGGGAACAAAAUUUCACAUAUUCGCUAAAUUAUUCUUUUUUAAGUUUAUCUAUGCAAUUUCCUUGCCUUAAAGGUUCUGUCUUCUGACACUGAUAUGAGCAUGCUUUUCUCCCAUGUGCAAAACUCAGCAGCAGUCACUGGAGCCAGGUGGCCAUCCAAUUUAGCUAGUAUAGUUUCAUUCUGUGAUUAGUCAGUCAAAAACAAAAACACAUUAGAUUUCAAACUAAAAUUGACUAUUAAGUAAAUAUUUUAAUAAUAACUGUUGCUAAACAUUGUCAGAUUUGUUUUCAAAGUAUAACUCAAUAAGAUUUUUCUCAUGGAAACUGCAGCCCUGUAUAUCAUCCUGCUGACAAAGCCACUACACAUUACAUUUGGUUCUUCAGAAUGAAUGAUAUAGGAAUAAUUUUUCAGAUGACCUAAGAAUGUUUUCUUCUUCUAAGUUAUCGAGAUAUUCUUUCAUUUCAUCUUUUUUAAUCUAGUUUUCUAUUUGGUAUGUGUUGCAUUAUCAAGCAUCUGUUCACACUUAUUUUAUGAGAGAAAAUGAACACUUUUGCUAAAUUAUACUAACAUUUCUGUAUCAUGAUUUUAUUUGAAAGUGAAUGAGUUAACGAAAUACCAGCACCAUGGCUACAGAGAAUGGUAUCUCACCUUUGCACUUAACAUGUAGAUCCGAUUUCCAGCACAUACUGCCACUUGUUGAUCAUCUGGGCUAAAUCUGACAUGAAGCACCAUUCCCAAAAGAGUUCUUAUAACAAUUCCAUGAGGUGUAAACCCUGCAGCAAUUGUAUUGUUAAUGAUAAUCAAUGAAAUAUAAAACUCUGGUGCAGUGAGAUUUUUAGAAACUUCGCAUAGUAGUUAUCUAACCAUAGAAGCUGUCCCAGUUUCUGUCAGAAAGAUGUACAGAACAACACACUGUUUAAUUACACCAGGCUAUUGAAAAGCACAGAACUAUGCACCAUCAGAAUUCCUCCAUCUGCCUUGUUGCCUAGACAUGAUCUGGUACUCUUUGAGAUAUUAAAAAUUCCCAUCAAGUUAUGCUUCCAUUGAAGAUUGCCACAGACAGGAUUUUUGGAGUAGGGUGAUGUGCCCAUGGAACCCAGCAGAGCCACAUUAAUUUUGGACGUAAGAAAUCCUGACUGAAGCACAGUAAGACAGGGCUUUGAAAAAUACUUCUUGAUACUUUUUUUCUCCUCUUUCAUUAUUUCUCUACUUUCCAAUCUAUUUAAGCUUGAAGAGGGGUUAGAACUGCUCCCUAGAAUCUAACUUCAUUGGUUGAGGCUCCAAACCUAUAUGGUGGUCAGGAUACUAAAACUCCUGCUUUCUGUGUGUUAUGUCACCAUAACUCUCUUUCACUGACACACUUUCCUCACAAAUCAGAUACUUGCAUUACUCACACACACGUGACAACAGUGUUCCAGAGACAGGAGAGGCAGGACCAGAAAAGGUGGGAUGCGAAACACUAGUUCCACAGAUGUUCCAGAAAAGCGGCAGAACGUCACUGUCUUUGCAGUGCUUCCCUGCGUUUCCCCCGAGGUUGAUGGCAGGCGCUUGUUCCCGCACAGCACCUUGGUCAGCUCCGGGGGCUGCCCCGGCGGGGCCGCCGCUGCCGCCGCCCGCCUGCAGCCCCCGGCCCCCGGCCCAGCACGGUAUCGUCGAGGAAGAAGGGAAACAGAGAAAUAAAGCACCGAUAUCGCUGUUAGGGCUGCUGAAUCUGAGUGGUUGAGGUUGAAGAUGCACAAGAAGCUGUAAGGGGACACAGCCAGCAAAGGCAUAUUCCCUACCCUAUGAUGUGCUCAGCAACAAAACUGGGGUACUGCAUGAAGAAGGUGUUGAGGGCCUGGGGGAUUGUCUUCUAAGCUGGCUUUUGCUUGAAGCCUGUACUGGGAUUGGUGUGCUUAUAGGAGGUGGUAAAUGACUGCCUUCGUAUGGCUUCUUUCUUUGUCUUCCCUUCACUCAUUAAACUAUCUUUAACUCAA